rnacentral:rRNA from 1 species
UGGGGAAUAUUGCACAAUGGGCGCAAGCCUGAUGCAGCCAUGCCGCGUGUAUGAAGAAGGCCUUCGGGUUGUAAAGUACUUUCAGCGGGGAGGAAGGCGAUAAGGUUAAUAACCUUGUCGAUUGACGUUACCCGCAGAAGAAGCACCGGCUAACUCCGUGCCAGCAGCCGCGGUAAUACGGAGGGUGCAAGCGUUAAUCGGAAUUACUGGGCGUAAAGCGCACGCAGGCGGUCUGUCAAGUCGGAUGUGAAAUCCCCGGGCUCAACAUGGGAACUGCAUUCGAAACUGGCAGGCUAGAGUCUUGUAGAGGGGGGUAGAAUUCCAGGUGUAGCGGUGAAAUGCGUAGAGAUCUGGAGGAAUACCGGUGGCGAAGGCGGCCCCCUGGACAAAGACUGACGCUCAGGUGCGAAAGCGUGGGGAGCAAACA